CACGUAGGGACCAAGCGUUGUCCGGAUUCAUUGGGCGUAAGGAGCUCGUAGGCGGUUCGAUAAGUCGGGUGUGAAACCUCCAGGCUCAACCUGGAGACGCCACCCGAUACUGUCGUGACUAGAGUCCAGUAGGGGAGCGUGGAAUUCCUGGUGUAGCGGUGAAAUGCGCAGAUAUCAGGAGGAACACCGAUGGCGAAGGCAGGUCUCUGGGCCACUACUGACGCUGAGAAGCGAAAGCAUGGGGAGCGAACAGG
rnacentral:rRNA from 1 species